rnacentral:lncRNA from 1 species
CGGAGAGCAGGAAUUGCAAUAGAAGGACUGUCACUUCAGCAAGCAAUUACAAAAUGCUGAACGGCACAAGUUGUACCUAGAUUGAAGCCAGUUAUACAAGCAUUACCAGCCUGCAUUCUCUGGGAGUUAUGGAAGAGAAGAAAUAGUUUGAAACAUGGAGAAGUGUCAGUAAAUAGAGUUAUUUACCAAGUGUCAUCGACGCUGCAAGCAUUAGUUCAACUGAAAAAACCAGGAUUACAUGUGCCUCACAAAUGGUUAGACUUACUGACAAUGAUGGAGAAAUACACACCUCGUCUGAAGUAUGAUAAAGUACUGUGGGAAUUCCCUCCAACAGGAUGGAUCAAGGUCAAUACUGAUGGUGC